rnacentral:lncRNA from 1 species
UAUGCUUCUUCUUUCUUCUUUCUUCUUCUGGUUUUGUUCGAGAAAUAGAGCAGCAAACUUCUUCUCUCUUAUUCUCUUCUUCUCUUCUUCUUUCUAUCUUUUUUCUUCUGUUUUUUAUCAACAAGACACAGGUAUGCUUCUUUCUUCUUUCUUCUUUCUUCUUUCUUCUUUCUUCUUUCUUCUUUCUUCUUUCUUCUUUCUUCUUUCUUCUUUCUUCUUUCUUCUUUCUUCUUUAACAAAACACAGGUAUGCUUCUUCUUUCUUCUUCUGGUUUUGUUUGCAGUAACAGAGCAACAUAUUUCUUAUUCUCUUCUUCUCUUCUUCUUUCUAUCUUUUUUCUUCUGUUUUUUGUCAACAAAACAGAGCAUGCGCAUGUUCUGUUUCUCUGCUUCUUUUUUCUUCUCUUCUAUUUUUUUUCUUCUGUUUUGAUGUCAGAAACUGAGCAGGU